GCGAUAUCGUUUGUCCAUUCACCAGCAAAACGACGAACAACCAGAAGACAAGGAAACCUGUUCAAGACAUAAACAAAACCCUCAUCAUCACCUUCACGUUUCGUCAACCACAAAGUUAAUUAAUUUCGCGAUGACUGAAAAUUAAAUUUACAUCAACAUCAACACACCCGCAUUCAGCCCGAUAAUCGUACACAGAACAAAUAUUUUGAAGAAAGAAAAAACAAAAGUUGCAUGAUUUGCGUAUACCUAGUUGGUAUAGUUGGUAGUUUUACACCAACGAAAAACGAUUAAAAGCAGACAUCCAGCUGUUAAUUCAUCUAUAAAGCCGGAAAUUUGGCGGUUAAUUAAAGCACCUUGGAAAAUACUCAUCAAUACGAUUUCGAGGCACCUAUUGAAUUUAUAUGUAUUGGAUUCGCCGAUUCGAUGGUGGAUUAUAAUGAAUGAAUUUGUAGGUAA